ACGGGAGGCAGCAGUGGGGAAUAUUGGGCAAUGGGCGAAAGCCUGACCCAGCGACGCCGCGUGAAGGAAGAAGGCCCUCGGGUUGUAAACUUCAGUCAACAGGGAAGAAACAAAUGACGGUACCUGUGGAGGAAGCCACGGCUAACUACGUGCCAGCAGCCGCGGUAAUACGUAGGUGGCGAGCGUUAUCCGGAUUUACUGGGUGUAAAGGGUGUGUAGGCGGGUCUGCAAGUCAGAUGUGAAAACUAUGGGCUCAACUCAUAGCUUGCAUUUGAAACUGUAGAUCUUGAGUGUCGGAGAGGUAAAUGGAAUUCCCAGUGUAGCGGUGAAAUGCGUAGAUAUUGGGAGGAACACCGGUGGCGAAGGCGGUUUACUGGACGAUUACUGACGCUGAGACACGAAAGUGUGGGGAGCAAACAGGAUUAGAUACCCUGGUA
rnacentral:rRNA from 2 species